rnacentral:rRNA from 1 species
GAUGAACGCUGGCGGCGUGCCUAAUACAUGCAAGUCGAGCGAAUGGAUUAAGAGCUUGCUCUUAUGAAGUUAGCGGCGGACGGGUGAGUAACACGUGGGUAACCUGCCCAUAAGACUGGGAUAACUCCGGGAAACCGGGGCUAAUACCGGAUAACAUUUUGAACCGCAUGGUUCGAAAUUGAAAGGCGGCUUCGGCUGUCACUUAUGGAUGGACCCGCGUCGCAUUAGCUAGUUGGUGAGGUAACGGCUAACCAAGGCAACGAUGCGUAGACGACCUUAGAGGGUGGUCGGCCACACUGGGACUGAGCCACGGCCCAGACUCCUACGGGAGGCAGCAGGAGGGAAUCUGCCGCAAUGGACGAAAGUCUGACGGAGCAACGCCGCGUGAGUGAUGAAGGCUUUCGGGUCGUAAAACUCUGUUGUUAGGGAAGAACAAGUGCUAGUUGAAUAAGCUGGCACCUUGACGGUACCUAACCAGAAAGCCACGGCUAACUACGUGCCAGCCGCCGCAGUAA